GACGAAGGGGGCUAGCGUUGUUCGGAAUUACUGGGCGUAAAGCGCGUGUAGGCGGUUAUCCAAGUCGGGUGUGAAAUCCCCAGGCUUAACCUGGGAACUGCAUUCGAGACUGCAUUGCUAGAGUAUGGGAGAGGGAAGUGGAAUUUCCGGUGUAGCGGUGAAAUGCGUAGAUAUCUGGAGGAACACCGGUGGCGAAGGCGGCAUCCUGGACCGGCAUUGACGCUGAGGAGCGAAAGCCAGGGGAGCAAACGGG
rnacentral:rRNA from 1 species